GAAAGGGGAGAUAUAGAAAACCUGCAGGAGUUUAUUGUUAGUUGCUAGUCUUCCACGAUUCCACGUCUUACAGAAACAUGGACACUCAUGUAACUCACCUAAAAAUAAACAACACUUAUAAAAAAAUUUUCAUAUAUCUCAAGAAGUAAAUGCUAAAAGAUGAAUAAGUACUGACAGGAGACACUUCAAGACAAAUUUUGGUUCUUAUUCCAUUCUGCAAAAUAAUUUGUAACACGAUGUCAUGUUUGACUUUACUUUGACUUGAUGACAAAUUUUCGCAAAACUUUAUCUUAGUGUGUUUUAUACAGGAAGAUAUAGUAUAGUAUUUUCUCAGAGGUGAUGCUAUGACUUCUUGCUAGACCGAUUAGUCUAUGUCAUCCAGAUCAAGUGUUUUCAUUUUUUAAAGGAUAUGUUGCAUGGGUUAACAGAAUCAGACCACUCUUAUGCAUAUAGGAUACCAAUCAAAGGGGUGGUACAGGGUGAACAGAAUCAAGGCUGUGGCCCUGUGGGAUGCAGAAAUAUAGGCUAGGCCAAUCUGGGAAUGGAGCAAUAAUGGUGCAUUAAACAGUCAACUAAAUUGUUAAAACACUACCACAAACCUACAAUUCAAAUUCAUUAACUGCUCAAAUUUAACCGCAAAGAAAAAUAGAGACUCUCUUACAAAUGGAAGAAAUUGCUGAUCUAUUGCUCCACAAAACACCAAUAUUACACUAUGACUGAAGCUAAUAUCAGUAUAAAUAUAGCUCGUAUUCCCAACAACAAAAAUGUAUAGGCAAUUUCACGCAAGUAUACGUGCAUCACAUGCUUGUGAUCUGUAGAGCAUCCAAUAAUAUUGUCAUGCAGUAGUAUUCCUAGUUGCAGUAUGUUUGUAUCCUAUACAUAGGUGCAAACACAUAAUACAUCCAACAUGGGCACAAGUCAUAGUUGAAAGACAUUAAUUAAUGUACUAAACACCACUAAAGAGCAGCAUGCAAUAAAAAAUAAAUUUAUUUCAUAUAUUAGUACUUAUGAAGUACA
rnacentral:misc_RNA from 1 species